CCUACGGGAGGCUGCAGUGGGGAAUAUUGGACAAUGGGGGCAACCCUGAUCCAGCCAUGCCGCGUGUGUGAAGAAGGCCCUCGGGUUGUAAAGCACUUUCAGUGAGGAAGAACGCCUGGUGGUUAAUACCCAUCAGGAAAGACAUCACUCACAGAAGAAGCACCGGCUAACUCCGUGCCAGCAGCCGCGGUAAUACGGAGGGUGCGAGCGUUAAUCGGAAUUACUGGGCGUAAAGCGCGCGUAGGUGGCUUGAUAAGCCGGUUGUGAAAGCCCCGGGCUCAACCUGGGAACGGCAUCCGGAACUGUCAAGCUAGAGUGCAGGAGAGGAAGGUAGAAUUCCCGGUGUAGCGGUGAAAUGCGUAGAGAUCGGGAGGAAUACCAGUGGCGAAGGCGGCCUUCUGGACUGACACUGACACUGAGGUGCGAAAGCGUGGGUAGCGAACAGGAUUAGAUACCCCAGUAGUC
rnacentral:rRNA from 1 species